rnacentral:rRNA from 1 species
UACGAAGGGGGCUAGCGUUGCUCGGAUUUACUGGGCGUAAAGGGCGCGUAGGCGGACAGUUAAGUCAGGGGUGAAAUCCCGGGGCUCAACCUCGGAACUGCCUUUGAUACUGGCUGUCUUGAGUACGGGAGAGGUGUGUGGAACUCCGAGUGUAGAGGUGAAAUUCGUAGAUAUUCGGAAGAACACCAGUGGCGAAGGCGACACACUGGCCCGUUACUGACGCUGAGGCGCGAAAGCGUGGGGAGCAAACAGGAUUAGAUACCCCGGUAGUCC